rnacentral:rRNA from 1 species
UACGAAGGGGGCUAGCGUUGUUCGGAUUUACUGGGCGUAAAGCGCACGUAGGCGGAUCUUUAAGUCAGAGGUGAAAUCCCAAGGCUCAACCUUGGAACUGUCUUUGAUACUGGGGAUCUUGAGUCCGGGAGAGGUGAGUGGAACUGCGAGUGUAGAGGUGAAAUUCGUAGAUAUUCGCAAGAACACCAGUGGCGAAGGCGGCUCACUGGCCCGGUACUGACGCUGAGGCACGAAGGCCAGGGGAGCAAACGGG